rnacentral:rRNA from 1 species
AUGGCGCCGCCGGGCAACUCCGUCGACCUCAAGGGUGCAAAGAAGGGCAAGAAAUCAAACUCCAAGAAUGAGAAAAGGCACAGGAAGGAGAAGCACGAGCGUCCUGCCGCCGACGAAGCGUCUCUCCCCAACGAGGCCAAGCGCAAGCACAAGGAGCACGGCAAGAAGCCCAAGAACGAGAAAAAGGCUGAGGCUGAGACCGAGGCGGGCGGGGUGAAGCGCGGAGACGAGAGGAUGAGGCGGGCGAUGGAGGACGAGCGGUUCGCGGCGGCGCGGACCGACCCUAGGUUCGGAUCGAUGCCGCGGAAGGAGGCGAAGUACUCUGUCGGCAGUGACAUUGCUCAUUACUUGAUGGCGAGGCAUGAUGAUACACCUAUGAUCGAUAAGGAAACUCACAGGCUUGCUGUUGUUAAUAUGGACUGGGAUCAUAUUAAGGCAGUGGACUUGUAUAUGGUGAUGACAUCUUGGGUCCCGAAAGGUGGGCGAGUUCUAUCAGUUUCCAUAUAUCCAUCAGAAUUUGGACUGGAGUGCAUGAAUAUUGAGACAACACAAGGCCCGUCUGCUCUUCUUGGUGCCGAUGAGGAUGAUGGUGGUGAUGGUGGGGAUGACGAUAACAGCGAGGUUGAAGACGAUGACGAUGAUGAUGUUGAUGGCGAAUACGAUAGUGAACAUGACUCUGAGACCGAGAACAACAGGCUGCGUGCUUAUGAGCUAAACAGACUGAGUGCAACUGCGAAUCACCUAUACAUGACUCUUGAUAGUACUGAGUUCUUGAAAACGGCAAAUGUGUUUGAUCUGCAGUUUAUUCGUGACUCUAUGGAGUUCAAGCGCGCUGCUCGUGAUGUAGCUACAGAGGCACCUCCUAGUUACAAGGAGCCUGAUUCUGAAACUCCCGCUUUGCAACCUAGCAAAGUUAAGCUCACGUGGGAUGAUGAUGAACCAGAUCGUAAGAUCUUGAGGUGGAAGUCCAAAGAGGAUCAGUUAGAUGACCCUAAAAUGUUUUUACCAAGUGAUGACAGUGCAUCAGAUGAUGAUGUAGACGAUUCUGGUGAUGAGUCUCUACCAAAUGGUGUAGCGAAAAGAAAGUUAAUAAACAAGGAAAGGUUGGCUCUUUUACUACAAGGAGAUAAAUCUGACGAGGAACAAAGUGAUGGCCAGGGCAUGGAGAUAACAUUCAACAUGGAACCCGAGGACCUCAGCAAGCGUAUCCUUGAGAGAAAGAGCAUCGAGACGAAAAUUGUCUGGGAGACGCACCAAGAAAAAAUGAAGGAGAAGCGGAAAGCUAGGAAGAGGUCGUCAAAGGAUGAUGAUGACUACAGUGACGAAGAUAGCGCUGAUGAAAAUGAUGAUUUCUUUGAGGAUGAAAAGGCUGAUGAAGAAGUUAGGCCAAUCAAGAAACAAAAGGUGAAGACCAAAGGGAAAGCAAAGGACAAGCUUCCAGAGGAACAUUUUGAACCAGAAGCAACUAAAGAAGAGUUGGAGCUCUUGGUUGCUGCUGACCAGGAUGCAGCCAAUGGUGCAAAGGGUUGUAACAUAAAACGCAGGAGUAAGAAGAGCAAGGGUUGUGUCGAGGACAAACUUCCUGAAAUCAAUAUUAGCACAGAUGACUUGAGGUUCUCAGCCACGUUGACGGAUCAUCUGUAUGCAUUGGAUCCUACUGAUCCCCAGUACAAGAGGUAUCACAUAGUGGGACGCGGAGGAAUUGAUCACGAGCACACAGGCUUUCGGAAUCUGUCCCGCUCCAUAUGUCGUCGUGAUUCGUUUUACCAAACACACGUGACCGCUGCAGGGCCAAGCAGACGAGGUGGAAUAGAAAAAGAAAAGGAGAAAUUCUCCUGGACGGAGGGCCAGAACGGCAUGUCCAUUCGAGGCCGUCGCGAAUUGGCGUCGGAGCCGUCGCUCGGGUCGGUAACGACGUCACUGGGUUGGAGUAAAUGCGAUAUGGGUAGCUGGGUGUAG